rnacentral:lncRNA from 1 species
ACACUAGUUUCAGGUGUACAUCAUAGUGAUGUGACAACUCUUUACAUAAUGCUAUGCUCACAACAAGUGUAGCUAUCAUGUCACCUUUCAAUAUUAUUAAAAUACCAUUGACUACAUUCCAUAUGCUGCUGCUUUCAUCAUCUUGUUAUUCAUUAUAAAACUGAAAAGUUUAGGGUUCUUCUUUAUGUAAAAAAUUGUUUUUCUUUUGCUGCUUUUAAUAUCUUUUUGUCUUAACUUUUGACAUUUUAAUUAUGCUGUAUCUUAGUGUGGGUUGCUUUGUAUUCAUCUUUUUUGAAACUCUCUGGGCAUCUUGAAUCUGGAUGCUGUUUCUUUCCCUAGGUUAGGGAUGUUUUUAGUCAUUAUUUAUUAAGACAAGAUUUUAACCUUUCUUUUUCUGGGACCCUUAUGAGUGUUAGUCCACAUGAUGUUACCCUAUAAGCCCCUUAAGAUAUUUUACCUUUUUUCCAUUCUUUAUUUUUUUAACUGCUCUGAAUAGAUGAAUUCCACUGCUUUAUCUUAGAGCUGACAGAUCCUUUUCUCUAUUUCAUGCAAUCUGCUGUUGAACCCCUCUAGUGUACUUUUCAAUGAGGUUAUUGUAUUCUUUAGUUGUGACUUUUAAUAUUUUCUAAUAUUUCAAAUCAUUCUGAACACCCAAAGAAAUUGAGCUGAGGACUGAUAACAAACUACAACCAAAAGGAAAAAAGAGGCCACGUCUUGGAAGGUGGUUGGUGUAGAGACAUGAUUUGGAGAACAAAAGAAUCACAGGUGCUGUGUAGGGAUGGGAGCCCUGAUCACAGAGGAGAGAAUGAGAGCAGGACUCAGGGGAUGGCACAAGAAAAACACUUCUCUAAAACCACUGACUGGGUAAAUGAGAGGGGCUGGUUAUCAUGAGACUUUACAAGCAGUAGAGCUCAAAGACUGAGGUUUAGAAAUCUAUGCCAUUGCUGGGGUAGAGCCUGGCAGGCAUACCAGGUGCUUCACAGGUGCUCCUGUGAAGGAGGGCAUAGGAAUAAAAGUGGACAUUGUGGUCUGAAGAUCCCCUGGGUCACAUUGGGAGAGUUAGUUCCCUUUCUUAGAGUGCAUUUGGGAGAGGUCCAUGGCUUCUCUGGGGACAAAAGAGCCAGUGAGUGCCAUUGAGCUCUCCCAUUCAUUAGCAUAGGAGUAGAGACACCUUCUGAGGGCAGCUAAUCUGGAUGUGGCUUUUUGAUGCACUUUACCAUGAACUCCAGGCCCCCGUGUGUGUUCAUGCAACUGCCCUCCUGGGACAAUCCAGCACUGGCCACACUGUGGUGAGACCAGUGUGGGUCCAUGUUAUCCCAGGUCCCUACAAAUUGGGGUUUUGAAACCCAGCAGGUACACCUGAGGUGAACCACAGGAGCACUGUGCUACUGGAUGGACCAAUGAUUCAGAAACAGGGUGGAGGCAGGGAUCUGAGGAAUGCCUGGGACUCACAAGGGGAGAUUGAUCACUCUUAUGUGAGGCUUCCUGAACAGUGGUGGGUAUGAUCUCUCUUCUCUGGGGCUGAGAGAGCUGGUUAAUGCCCAUUUUACCCCUGCCCCUCAGCACGGGUAGACUUUAGUGAGCAGCAAAGCGCCCACACUGGAGGCUUGAGCUGCUUACACCAAACCCUGCCCCUGCUAUGUUCUCCAGGUGCUUUUUAUUUUUACUGGGGCAAGUGUGCCUGUGAGCCAGAGCAGCAAUGGGCCCUUCCCGCAGGAGACCAGCACAACCCCCUGGAUGCACCAAGUCUACUGACCAUAGAAUGCUGCAAAGCUUCAGUUCUAGUGAAAACAGGAUCUAAGGGGAUCCGUGGGUGGCUCAGCGGUUUGGCGCCUGCCUUUGGCCCAGGGGAUCCCCACCAGCAUUUUUCAUAGAGCUAGAACAAACAAUCCUAAAAUUUGUACAUUACCACAAAAGACUGUGCUUAGCUAAAGCACCCUGGAAAAAGAAAAGCAAAGCUGGAAACAUCAUAAUUCUGGUCUUCAAGCUAUAUUACAAAGCUGUAGUGAUCAAGACAGUAUGGUACUAGUGCAAAAACAGACACAUAGAUCAGGGGAGCAUAAUGUAAAACCCAGAAGUGGGCCCAAAACUAUAUAGUCAACUAAUCUUCAACAAAGGAGGAAGAAUAUCCAAUGGAAAAAAGAUAGUCUCUUCAACAGAUGGUGUUGGGAAAACUGGACAGCAAUAAUAAGAAUGAACUGGACCGCUUUCUUACACCAUACACAGAAAUAAAUUCAAAAUGGAUGAAAGACCUAAAUGUGAGAUAGGAAUCCGUCAAAACCGUAGAGGAGAACACAGGCAGCAACCUCUUUAACCUUGGCUGUAGCAACUUAAUAGACAUGUCACCAGAGGUAAGGGAAACAAAAGCAAAAAUGAACUAUUGGAACCUCAUCAAGAUAAAAAGCUUCUACACAGUGAAAUAAUCAACAACACUAAAAGGCAACCCAUUGAAUGGGCAAAGACAUUUGCAAAUGAUAUAUCUGAUAAAGGGUUAGUAUCCAUAAUACACAAAGAACUUACCAAACCCAACACCCAUAAAACAGUCAAGAAAUGGGUAGAAGGCGUGAGUAGACAUUUUUCUAAAGAAGACCGACAGAUGGCUAAGACAUAUGGAAAGAUGCUCAACAUCACCAUCAUCAGGAGAAUACAAAUCAAAACCACAAUGUGAUACCACUUCACACCUGUCAGAAUGGCUUAAAUUAACACCACAGGAAAUAGCAGAUGUUGGCAAGGAUGAUAGGAAAGGGGAACCUUUUGCACCGUUGGUGGGAAUGCAAACUGGUGCAGGCACUCUGGAAAACAGUAUGGAGGUUCCUCAAAAAUAGAACUACCCAAUGGUCCAGCCAUUGCACUAGUAGGUAUUUACCCAAAGAAUAUAAUUAUACUGAUUCAAAGGGAUACAUGCACCCUGAUGUUUACAGCAGCAGUGUCAACAAGGGCCAAAUUAUGGAAAAGCUCAAAUAUUGACUGAUGAAUGGAUAAAAAAGAGGUGUGUAUAUAUACCUCAAAAGUGAAACAGGAAGAAAUAUAUAUAUAUAUAUAUGGAAUAUUACUCAGCCAAAGGAUAAAAAUAUCAUUUGCAAUGAU